rnacentral:rRNA from 1 species
AUUGAACGCUGGCGGCAGGCCUAACACAUGCAAGUCGAACGAGUGGCGGACGGGUGAGUAAUGUCUGGGAAACUGCCUGAUGGAGGGGGAUAACUACUGGAAACGGUAGCUAAUACCGCAUACCAUCAGAUGUGCCCAGAUGGGAUUGUCUUGUUGGUGGGGUAACGGCUCACCAAGGCGACGAUCCCUAGCUGGUCUGAGAGGAUGACCAGCCAAAAUGGAACUGAGGCACGGUCCAGACUCCGACGGGAGGCAGCAGUGGGGAAUAUUGCACAAUGGGCGCAAGCCUGAGGCAGCCAUGCCGCGUGGAUGAAGAAGGCCUUCGGGGUGUAAAGGACUUUCAGCGGGGAGGCGUUACCCGCAGAAGAAGCACCGGCUAACUCCGUGCCAGCAGCCGCGGUAAUAC